rnacentral:rRNA from 1 species
CCAAUAGCGUAUAUUAAAGUUGUUGCAGUUAAAAAGCUCGUAGUUGAAUUUCGGGGUCAGCAAGUUGGUCGUGCCACCGGUAUGCACUGGCUUUACUGAUUCCUCCUUCUUGAAGAACCUUAAUGCCAUUAACUUGGUGUUGUGGGGAAACAGGACUGUUACUUUGAAAAAAUUAGAGUGUUUAAAGCAAGCUAACGCUUGAAUACAUUAGCAUGGAAUAAUGAAAUAGGACGAUCGAUCCUAUUUUGUUGGUUUCUAGGAUUGACGUAAUGAUUAAUAGGGAUAGUUGGGGGCAUUAGUAUUCAAUUGUCAGGGGUGAAAUUCUUGGAUUUAUUGAAGACUAACUACUGCGAAAGCAUUUGCCAAGGAUGUUUUCAUUAAUCAAGAACGAAAGUUAGGGGAUCGAAGACGAUCAGAUACCGUCGUAGUCUUAACCAUAAACUAUGCCGACUAGGGAUCGGAUGAUGUUAAUUUUUUAAUGACUCAUUCGGCGCCUUACG